UUGCUAUGAAGAAAUACUUGUGCUAACGGUGGUGAUUGGGUUCUCCACAACCGUCUAAUCUUCGGACGAAAGAAGCGCAUCUGAGCAG
rnacentral:snoRNA from 1 species